UCUCAAGGGAGGAAAUGACUCAAUGUGUUUAAUACAGGUUUCCCUGCUAAGCCUCAAUCUGGGGAAGUCCUGUUGGUUUUGGGAAGUGAGCAGCAGUUCUGUAUGUGGUUUAAAAAAACAAACAAAAAAACAAAACAAAAAGACAGAAAAUGAAGUGGGAAAACAAGAUUCUUUAAGUCUAUUUUAGAAUCCCUAUUGGGUCUAGAAUGCCAUCCUCUGUACAAAGUAUUCACUCAGAAAUGUGGGCCGUGAGAGCUCGGGAAAUAAGGCUUGCGUGAUACUCACUGGGUGGUUUGGGCCGCUGGGCCUGCCUCUGAAGGCCGCUGAUGUUUUUGUCUCCUUUAGGUGCUCAGCUUUAAGGGCUACUGGGAAAAACUGAACUCCAACCUAGAAUAUGUUAAGUACGCCAAGCCACACUUCCACUAUAACAACAGUGUGGUCAGGAGAGAGUGGCACAACCUGAUCUCUGAAGAGAAAACAGGAAAAAGAAGGUCCACGGCGUAUGUGAGGAAUAUUCUUGAUAAUGCAGUAAAGGUGAUUUCUAACCUAGAAGCAA
rnacentral:sRNA from 1 species